rnacentral:lncRNA from 1 species
CACGGCUUUGCUGAAAUUUGUCUCGGGUUGCCUUUAAGGAGACUGUCGUUUCCUUUUGAAAGAGAUACUUUGAACUUCAGAUUGAAAAGCAUGUACUUGAGUAGCUGUAUUUAAGGAAUUACACCCAAGAAGUCUCAUCUUCCCUGGACUUACGUAGAGGAUAAGAUUCUGAACUUUGAAUUGAUGCUAUAAUGGGAUAAGACUUUGGGGCCUUAGAAGGGAGACCAGGACCUGCCAGCCAAGACAAUAUUUUGGGUUCUUUCCCAAAAUACUUAGUCAUCUAAAAUCAUAACCCUAUUGAAAGCUGCCUUCCUGUUCAACCCCAGUCAACAACUAAAACAGAGGCAUGUCACCCCUCUGGGGGUCAGGCUGAGUAUACUCUGCAGAGCUCUGCUUCCCACAAAUGUCAGGAGAACAAAGGCCAUGAAGGUGUUAAAGGGAAGCAAGCGAUCGACAGCAUUGGUUGGUGACAAACCUGUGGCUGGUCUGUGUAUGAUGGGAUGGAUUCCUCCUGCUCCCAGAAGGCACUGUACUUUCAGUGUUCAGGGCAGCCUUGCCUUAGUGCCUCAAACCUAUCCCUACAUCCUGCAGUAAACUUGGAAAGGUAACACCUCUAACCAUCAGGCCUUCCUCUGAAGCACAGUCAAGUUGCUCUUGGCAACCAUCUCAAUUUUAAUAGUGCAGAUGCCAUGUGCUGUAAAGUCCUAAAAUUUAAAUUCUUUAUUUCUUGACAUCAUUGCCUCAAAAAAAUGCGUGAUAUAUUUUGUCCAUUAAUGAGAUCCAUAUCUAUCUUCUUCUCCUUACCUGCUUUCUGAUUUUCCUGUCUCCUCAAUUAACAAGUCACUUUCUUGAUAAUAUUUGUAUUUAUAAAUGCCCUUCACCCAGAUGACGGUCCCUAACUUAUCGUUUUUUUUUGUUGUUGUUGUUGUUUGUUUGUUUUUUUGAGACAGAGUCUCACUCUGUUGCCCAAGCUGGAGUGCAGUGGCGCGAUCUCAGCUCACUGCAACCUGUGCCUCCCGGGUUCAAGUGAGUCUCCUGCCUCAGCCUCCCAAGGAGCUG